GACGAACGCNGGCGGCGUGCCUAAUACAUGCAAGUAGGACGCACAGCCUAUACCGUAGCUUGCUACACCAUAGGCUGUGAGUUGCGAACGGGUGAGUAACGCGUAGGUAACCUGCCUAUUAGAGGGGGAUAACUAUUGGAAACGAUAGCUAAUACCGCAUAACAGUAUGUAACACAUGUUAGAUGCUUGAAAGAUGCAAUUGCAUCACUAGUAGAUGGACCUGCGUUGUAUUAGCUAGUAGGUAGGGUAAUGGCCUACCUAGGCAACGAUACAUAGCCGACCUGAGAGGGUGAUCGGCCACACUGGGACUGAGACACGGCCCAGACUCCUACGGGAGGCAGCAGUGGGGAAUCUUCGGCAAUGGGGGGAACCCUGACCGAGCAACGCCGCGUGAGUGAAGAAGGUUUUCGGAUCGUAAAGCU
rnacentral:rRNA from 1 species